rnacentral:rRNA from 1 species
GGUUAAGUUAGAAAGGGCGCACGGUGGAUGCCUUGGCACUAGGAGCCGAUGAAGGACGGGACGAACACCGAUAUGCUUCGGGGAGCUGUAAGCAAGCUUUGAUCCGGAGAUUUCCGAAUGGGGAAACCCACCACUCGUAAUGGAGUGGUAUCCAUAUCUGAAUACAUAGGAUAUGAGAAGGCAGACCCGGGGAACUGAAACAUCUAAGUACCCGGAGGAAGAGAAAGCAAAUGCGAUUCCCUGAGUAGCGGCGAGCGAAACGGGACCAGCCCAAACCAAGAGGCUUGCCUCUUGGGGUUGUAGGACACUCUGUACGGAGUUACAAAGGAACGAGGUAGAUGAAGAGGUCUGGAAAGGCCCGCCAUAGGAGGUAACAGCCCUGUAGUCAAAACUUCGUUCUCUCCUGAGUGGAUCCUGAGUACGGCGGAACACGUGAAAUUCCGUCGGAAUCCGGGAGGACCAUCUCCCAAGGCUAAAUACUCCCUAGUGACCGAUAGUGAACCAGUACCGUGAGGGAAAGGUGAAAAGCACCCCGGAAGGGGAGUGAAAGAGAUCCUGAAACCGUGUGCCUACAAGUAGUCAGAGCCCGUUAACGGGUGAUGGCGUGCCUUUUGUAGAAUGAACCGGCGAGUUACGAUCCCGUGCAAGGUUAAGCAGAAGAUGCGGAGCCGCAGCGAAAGCGAGUCUGAAUAGGGCGAAUUGAGUACGUGGUCGUAGACCCGAAACCAGGUGAUCUACCCAUGUCCAGGGUGAAGUUCAGGUAACACUGAAUGGAGGCCCGAACCCACGCACGUUGAAAAGUGCGGGGAUGAGGUGUGGGUAGGGGUGAAAUGCCAAUCGAACCUGGAGAUAGCUGGUUCUCUCCGAAAUAGCUUUAGGGCUAGCCUCAAGGUAAGAGUCUCGGAGGUAGAGCACUGAUUGGACUAGGGGCCCCUACCGGGUUACCGAAUUCAGUCAAACUCCGAAUGCCGAUGACUUAUCCUUGGGAGUCAGACUGCGAGUGAUAAGAUCCGUAGUCGAAAGGGAAACAGCCCAGACCGCCAGCUAAGGUCCCAAAGUAUACGUUAAGUGGAAAAGGAUGUGGAGUUGCUUAGACAACCAGGAUGUUGGCUUAGAAGCAGCCACCAUUUAAAGAGUGCGUAAUAGCUCACUGGUCGAGUGACUCUGCGCCGAAAAUGUACCGGGGCUAAACGUAUCACCGAAGCUGCGGACUGUUCUUCGAACAGUGGUAGGAGAGCGUUCUAAGGGCUGUGAAGCAAGACCGGAAGGACUUGUGGAGCGCUUAGAAGUGAGAAUGCCGGUAUGAGUAGCGAAAGAGGGGUGAGAAUCCCCUCCACCGAAUGCCUAAGGUUUCCUGAGGAAGGCUCGUCCGCUCAGGGUUAGUCGGGACCUAAGCCGAGGCCGAAAGGCGUAGGCGAUGGAUAACAGGUUGAUAUUCCUGUACCACCUCCUCACCAUUUGAGCAAUGGGGGGACGCAGGAGGAUAGGGUAAGCGCGGUAUUGGAUAUCCGCGUCCAAGCAGUUAGGCUGGGAAAUAGGUAAAUCCGUUUCCCGUGAAGGCUGAGCUGUGAUGGCGAGCGAAUUAUAGUAGCGAAGUUCCUGAUUCCACACUGCCAAGAAAAGCCUCUAGCGAGGUGAGAGGUGCCCGUACCGCAAACCGACACAGGUAGGCGAGGAGAGAAUCCUAAGGUGAUCGAGAGAACUCUCGUUAAGGAACUCGGCAAAAUGACCCCGUAACUUCGGGAGAAGGGGUGCUCUGUUAGGGUGCAAGCCCGAGAGAGCCGCAGUGAAUAGGCCCAGGCGACUGUUUAGCAAAAACACAGGUCUCUGCGAAGCCGUAAGGCGAAGUAUAGGGGCUGACGCCUGCCCGGUGCUGGAAGGUUAAGAGGAGCGCUUAGCGUAAGCGAAGGUGCGAAUUGAAGCCCCAGUAAACGGCGGCCGUAACUAUAACGGUCCUAAGGUAGCGAAAUUCCUUGUCGGGUAAGUUCCGACCCGCACGAAAGGCGCAACGAUCUGGGCACUGUCUCAACGAGAGACUCGGUGAAAUUAUAGUACCUGUGAAGAUGCAGGUUACCCGCGACAGGACGGAAAGACCCCGUGGAGCUUUACUGCAGCCUGAUAUUGAAUGUUGGUACAGCUUGUACAGGAUAGGUAGGAGCCUUGGAAACCGGAGCGCCAGCUUCGGUGGAGGCAUCGGUGGGAUACUACCCUGGCUGUAUUGACCUUCUAACCCGCCGCCCUUAUCGGGCGGGGAGACAGUGUCAGGUGGGCAGUUUGACUGGGGCGGUCGCCUCCUAAAAGGUAACGGAGGCGCCCAAAGGUUCCCUCAGAAUGGUUGGAAAUCAUUCGCAGAGUGUAAAGGCACAAGGGAGCUUGACUGCGAGACCUACAAGUCGAGCAGGGACGAAAGUCGGGCUUAGUGAUCCGGUGGUUCCGCAUGGAAGGGCCAUCGCUCAACGGAUAAAAGCUACCCCGGGGAUAACAGGCUUAUCUCCCCCAAGAGUCCACAUCGACGGGGAGGUUUGGCACCUCGAUGUCGGCUCAUCGCAUCCUGGGGCUGUAGUCGGUCCCAAGGGUUGGGCUGUUCGCCCAUUAAAGCGGUACGCGAGCUGGGUUCAGAACGUCGUGAGACAGUUCGGUCCCUAUCCGUCGCGGGCGCAGGAAAUUUGAGAGGAGCUGUCCUUAGUACGAGAGGACCGGGAUGGACGCACCGCUGGUGUACCAGUUGUUCUGCCAAGGGCAUCGCUGGGUAGCUAUGUGCGGACGGGAUAAGUGCUGAAAGCAUCUAAGCAUGAAGCCCCCCUCAAGAUGAGAUUUCCCAUUCCGCAAGGAAGUAAGAUCCCUGAAAGAUGAUCAGGUUGAUAGGUCUGAGGUGGAAGUGUGGCGACACAUGGAGCUGACAGAUACUAAUCGAUCGAGGACUUAACCAA